GGGUUGGAGAUGAAAUCUAAAGUCACAUUCAUAUUGGAGCAGUUUGGCCCACUUUAAAUAGACUCUGGUUUGUUUUCUUGGCCAAUCAAACCUUGGUGUGAAUCACUUGAGGUGUGUGAAGGCAAAACAAACCAAAAGGUAAAAAGGGGUGUACACCAGAGUCCAUCACAGGUCAUCUGUGUGAAUUGAUUCCUUGCUUGUUGUGUGUCUCUAUCACAGCGAAACGUUAUAGUCUCUCUCUCUCUCUCUCUCACCAGGGCUCGCCUCCUUUUCGGCACAGAUUAAUUCAUCUUAAAGAAAGGAACAACAUGCUCAUUCACCUGCUCAUACUGGGUGCCCAUUUGUCAAACACAUGUAUGAAUGAACACCAGAGCACAAUCCCUGAGACUGCAUAGAUUUGGUGUUGCUCCAUUGUUUAUGUGAUGAAUAAGAUGUCAAAGGGGGAGGUGUUCCUGUUUUCUGUUCUGGCCAAUAGAUUCAUCAUCUUCUUCUUUAUUGCCGUCUUCAUCAGCGUUUGUUUGGGGCGGUUCUGCCACAGAGGAGCAGUUAUUGUAAUUGUAUGUCAUUGUCCACACAGUUUGGUUUGUUCAAUCAAGUGCAGUGUGAUAGUGAACGAGGUGAAAGCCCAACUGUGGACCGAUUUCAUCCCCACAAUCAAACCGUGUCCCGGCAUCUUAAAACAAUCCUAAUGUCCAUCUUUCUGAUUCAAUCUGUUUCAACUGCCGUCUUUGCCGGUCUCCGAUGCCUGAUACGAAUUUAAUGCUGGUCCUAGCUCGUUUUGUUAUGAUCUUUGCUGGUUUGAUGCUGGUUUUUGCUGGUCUUUGUUGGUCUGCAGUUGAUUUAAAGAUGUUUUAUGUUGGUCUCAUUCUUUUUUUGCAGGUCUGAUGAUGCUGGUUUUUUGCUGGUCUUUGUUAAAUGUUAGACUUGUUGGUCUUAAGCUGGUAUCUUUGCUAUUUUUUGCUAAUGUUGCUUUUUUUAUGCUAGUUUGAUUCUGCUUUUGAUCCUGCCUUGAUGCUGGUCUUUGUAAGUUUUAGAUGGUCUUUCUGUCACGGUCUGGAGUGACACAAAAAGGGAAAGGACCCAAAAUGCAGAACAACAACAACAAAAAAAGAUGAAUUAUUUAAAAAGAGCAAAAGAAAAAGAAAAAAUUCACUGGGGCAAAAUCACAGGGAGCAACUGGGGACACAGGCAUAGGCACACACCAACAAACAAAGAACCAACAAGGACAGAGGAGAAACAGGGACUAUAUACACACUGGGAAACGAGCAACAGGUGAGGCAGACGAGACACAGGUGAAACUCGUUAGUGAUUAACAAAGGAGGGAAAACCUGGGAAGUAAAACAAGACUAGAAACACAAGGAAUAAACUACUACAAACAUAAAACAGGGAACACUAACAACUGAUAUAAAGAGUAAAACAGAGAACAGGAGGGAAACUAAAAACUCACAAGACUGGACUACAGGGGAACAGGGACAACAGGGAACAGAAACACAACAGGAAAAUACACAAAAUGUACUCAAAUAAAACCAGGAGAAGAAAACUAAAUUAACAGAACAUAUCACAACACUUUCCUGGUUUGAUGCUGUUUUUGUUCUUCUCUGCUGGUUUGAUACUGAUCUGAUACUAAUUCAUGUUGGUCUGAAGCUGGUUUUUGUUUGUUCGAUGCAGAUUUGAUGUUACUCAAGGGCUUUUUUUUCAUUUUUCGCAAAUCAUUAUCCAGCUUUAGGCUUAAAUGAAAGAGACAUUGUUUGAUUUAGUAGCAGAUAUAGAAAUCAGAUAAAUGUUAUUUAUUUAUAUGUGAGUGCACACAUAUUGUGUUUUAUGCCACCCUGUUUUAAAAAGGCAGCAGAACUAUGCUGCGACUCUGGAUCUUUGAAUGCAAACGCAGGAACCUUAAAUCAACUGAAAAGUCUUUUUCUAAAUAAACAGAACAUCCUUGCAAGUGUUUUAGCUACUCUGGAGGUGGGUGGAACUGACUAGUCCUUGCACUUCUCAGAAUAGUUUUUCCCUAUGUGCACCGGUGCUAUGAAGCAUUGAGGAAAACCAUGGGAGUGUCAAUCAAACAGCGCGUACACGCCCAGACAGUUCUGUGAUCGAAGACUCAUUAUCCGAAACUAAUUGGGACUAUCUGAGUAGGUUUACUGUCACUGAGGAGACUAUGAAGUACAGGCAUUUAGCUCUAACUUCUAUUUUACUCAGUUAACAGAAGCUCCAUGUUGGUUCCUCUGCUCCAACAGUUUAUUUCCUCCUCUCACAGUACUCAGACUGAUGCUCUGAAUAAAUAAACAGCAGCUCUAGUAACCCUCUGAAUUCAUGAAGAGUCCAUUUCAGUGCCAGAGAGCUGACACCCUGAGUGCCAAUUUAUGAACACUCACACUCACACACACACACACACACACACUCCCCCAAACCAGCAGUGUUUGCUCCAGUUGCAGUCAGACACACAAUGCGUGUCAUCUGUUUUAUUCUGACUGCAGCGCUGAGUGAGGGAAAUACAAAAGCAGUGAGUCAGGAUGAGACGAAGAAGAAAAGGAAAGAGGGAGACAGGGAAAUGUGUUUUUGUUCCAAAAAGCAGCGACCUGAGAUAAAGUACAAAAUCAGGGAAGAAAAGAAAAGAUUUGAUCCACUUCAAUGGCGUCUAGACGAGAGUGUCUUUAAACGCACCACCCUCUUGUUACUUUACUUCAUCUUUUGGUGACUAAGCUACAUUUAUCUGCUUUGACAAAAUAGCUGAUUAUGUACGGAUCAACAGAUAGAAAUACUCCUGAAAGCAGAUAAUUAUCGCUCUUUAUUCAAACACAAAAAUUUAUUAUUUUCUCUAUUUUCUGAAAACCCUGAACAAAAGGACACGAAUCGAAACAAGAUGUUAGCAACCCACUUAGAAAAGCUGAGUUAUCUGCUUUUUUUACAUUCAGCUACAUCAGAAUUUUUUCUUCAGCUUCAUGGAAAUAUAAUUUUAAUACAAGCAUGAACUUUCAUCGAGCCCCAUCCUGCAAGAUCAAACCCACUCCCAUCCCAUCUUCAACCACACAAGUGUGGAAAUUUGCAGCAGGUUACAGUGGAGAGGAAAACUCCCUUAAACAGGCAGAAACUUUGAGCAGAACCAGACUCAUGUCAGACAGUCAUCUGCUGAGGUUUAGAGAGGGAAAUAAGAGAGAUGGACAGAGGUGAGGCUGAUACAUCUGGGGUUAAAGCAGCAGCAAACCAUCUGAAGCAGCAAUCUAGAGGAACCUACAGCAUGAUGGAGCUCAAGGACUAAUUCCUGGAGUUCAUAGCUUGUAGUUUCCUAUAACUGGAAGGGUUAUGGGGAACUACAAGCUGAUGGAAAUGUCAAAAAGGACUGAGCUUAAAUGUCGUCUUGCAGACCUUGAGGCUCAUUAUUAUGUAAAAAAUUUGUUUGUGCAAUGAACAAACCAACUACCGCUAAUGAUUAUUUUUCCUUUCAGUUGUAUUUUCAAUCAGCAUUUCCUUCUGAAACCACAAAUAUGCCUGAAGACGGUGCAGACCAAGGACAGCUUCAGAUGUUCCACUUCCUACAGAUCUAACAUCCAGAUCUAAAUAGCGUGACAGAUCCGAUACCCUGACUGAGGGUCGAGAAUGAAUAUGUAGGAGCCAUUUCUUCCUCUUUACCUGCACGUCAUUGUUUUUUUUUUUUCUUUUCAACGAUAAGACCAUUACAGACUACGACAAAGCGCUGGAGCAGGUAAUUACUCCCAAACUAAUUAGCUGACAAGUCAAGGACAGACA
rnacentral:lncRNA from 1 species